AUGCAAUCUGAGCCCCGAGACCGGCCCGGCCCGUCCGCUCGGCAGCUCUUCCCGCGUCACCUCCUCACCCCGUCCUCCCCUGCCCCGUGCGGAGCGCGAAGGUGCUGCGGGCCGGCUCGGGCUGCGCCGGGAGAGGGGGAGGGACGGGGGCUUCCGACUAUCUCUGCGCCCGGCGGCUUUUCCGGGGCUUUUCGAGCACCCCCGGUUCCCAAGGUCGGCGCGGAGAAUGCUUGGGUGCCCUGGAGCACAGCAGGGGCAAGUGUGGGCGAGAGAGACGAGCGAGCGGGAGCGGGAGAAAGAGGCAGCGAGAGGGCGACUCCGCCGCUCGCUCGGAGGUGGGGGCGGGAGGAGCCGAGGGGAGGAGGAGGAGGAGGAGGAGGAGGAGGAGGAGGAGGCUGGCGGGGGCGGUGGGAGGAGUGGGGAGCUGCGGCUCCUGUUGCUCCGUGCGGCGGGCUGGGGCUGCCCGCGACCCGCCGGGCGCUAAUAAGGCGGCCGGAGCCCCCCGGGCGGCCCCUCCCGCCGCGGCGCCCACGUCACGCGGGGCUGGGGCAGGGGCUGGGGCAGGAGCGGGGGCUGGGGCAGGGGCUGCGGCAGGAGUUGGGGCUGGGGCAGGAGCUGGGGCAGGGGCUGGGGCAGGAGCUGGGGCAGGAACUGGGGCAGGGGCUGGGGCAGGAGCUGGGGCAGGGGCUGGGGCAGGAGCUGGGGCAGGGGCUGGGGCAGGAGCUGGGGCAGGGGCUGGGGCAGGAGUUGGGGCAGGGGCUGGGGCAGGAGCUGGGGCAGGGGCUGGGGCAGGAGCUGGGGCAGGGGCUGCGGCAGGAGUUGGGGCUGGGGCAGGGGCUGGAGCUGGGGCUGGGGGCAGGGGCAGGGACUGGGGCAGGAGCUGGGGCUGGGGGCUGGGGCAGGAGCUGGGGCUGGGCUGGGGCAGGAGCUGGGGCUGGGGCAGGGACUGGGGCAGGGGCAGGGACUGGGGCAGGAGCUGGGGAUGGGGCAGGAGCUGGGGCUGGGGGCUGGGGCAGGAGCUGGGGCAGGAGCUGGGGAUGGGGCAGGAGCUGGGGCUGGGGCAGGAGCUGGGGCUGGGGCAGGAGCUGA
rnacentral:lncRNA from 1 species